rnacentral:rRNA from 1 species
AGCGAACGCUGGCGGCGUGCUUAACACAUGCAAGUCGCGCGGGAAAGAGACUUUCGGGUCUUGGAGUAGAGACGGCGGACGGGUGCGUAAGACGCGGGUGACCUAUCCGAGAGGCGGGGAUAACCCAGCGAAAGCGGGGCUAAUACCGGAUGAGCCCCCAGGCGGAAACGCGCGGGGGCGAAAGGAUGCUACUCGAUAGUGGCAUGUCCUCACGGAGGGGCCCACGGCCUAUCAGCUAGNGGUUGUGGUAACGGCGCACCAAGGCGAAGACGGGUAGCUGGUCUGAGAGGAUGGCCAGCC